AACGAACGCUGGCGGCAUGCCUAACACAUGCAAGUCGAACGAGACCUUCGGGUCUAGUGGCGCACGGGUGCGUAACGCGUGGGAACCUGCCCUUAGGUUCGGAAUAACUCCCCGAAAGGGGUGCUAAUACCGGAUAAUGUCUUCGGACCAAAGAUUUAUCGCCUUUGGAUGGGCCCGCGUUGGAUUAGCUAGUUGGUAGGGUAAAAGCCUACCAAGGCGACGAUCCAUAGCUGGUCUGAGAGGAUGAUCAGCCACACUGGGACUGAGACACGGCCCAGACUCCGACGGGAGGCGGGAGGGGGGAAUAGUGGAAAGGGGGCGAAAGCCUGAUCCCGCAAUGCCGGGGGAGUUAUAAAGGCCUUAGGGUUGAAAAGCUCUUUUACCCGGGAUGAUAAGGACAGGACCGGGAGAAAAAGCCCCGGCGAACUCCGU
rnacentral:rRNA from 1 species